CAGAAACCAAACCGGAUUUGCCUUUAACCCCCUCGGGCCUCUCCAUAUUGCUGAGAUACCCCUGCCUUCUCCAGAUACACGGGCAAAGCCUACUUCCCUGAAGCCAAAAGAGGCCCAAGGCAUGCACCAUAUUGGAGUCUGAGAGGUGGCGCAAUGAUCCCACAAAAGCAUCACCCCCACUUGUAAGACUCCGCAGUCCCAGUGUGAACCCUUGAAGGGCUUCACUUGGACCCCUACCUGUCUCUUUCCACUGCCCGUCCUCCUUUCCACUCCAGUGCUCCGGAUAUCGAGGUGCUGGGGAAGUUCUGGCUUUGGAGUCAUUCAGACCAGGAAGAAUGGGAGCCAGGUCACCUCCAUCUAUGACCCCAGCGCCCAGCACAUAUGAAGUUGUUAGUGAACAAUUCCUGAAUGAUUGAAUGAAUAAAUGAGUGCAGAACAGCAA